GCCGAGGUAGCUUAGCGGUAAAGCAGCUGUUUUGUAAACAGCAGACCGGAGGUUCAAAUCCUCUCCUCGGCUCAA
rnacentral:tRNA from 1 species